UACGUAGGGGGCAAGCGUUGUCCGGAUUUAUUGGGCGUAAAGAGCGUGUAGGCGGCUUUACAGGUCCGUUGUGAAAACUCGAGGCUCAACCUCGAGACGCCGGUGGAAACCGUAAAGCUAGAGUCCGGAAGAGGAGAGUGGAAUUCCUGGUGUAGCGGUGAAAUGCGUAGAUAUCAGGAGGAACACCUGUGGUGUAGACAGCUUACUGGACCAUUUCUGACGCUGAGACACGAAAGCGUGGGUAGCAAACAGG
rnacentral:rRNA from 1 species